rnacentral:lncRNA from 1 species
ACACUCUGGAGAAGGUCUGCCUCUGUGUGCGCUGCCCCGGUUGCAUGCGAGCAGAUGAAUUCCACAGCUGGAACUGAGGCACAGAGCAAUAAACACAGUGGAGCCCAUCUCUGCCGUGGUGAGAGGGGGCAUCAGAAGUGACAACAAUGACAAGGACCCAAGGACCGUCCUUCUGACAAGUUUCAGAUUCUUGGGCUGAUGGAGUAAGUGAGUGACGGAGUGGGUUGCCAACUGUAGUUACUCCACUCAGUGCGGAAUGGCUGCAGGGAAUAUAUUCUGAUGUGCCCAAAGAAGUCUGCCCAGGGUGAAACAAAUACCUUUGAGGUUUAAAUCAGAAAACAUAAACACAUUUCCCUUAUAGGAAGAAGUUGUAUUUAAAAGCCUCUGUUUAAUUUAUUCAGAAACUACACGAUUUUUGUUGCUAUAUUUUGUUAUAAAGGAAGAGAGGCUGUUUCUACAGGUGUCAUAGAAAAGUCGAUGCUGAGCCAUGGAUUAUUGGAUCUCAUAGAACCACGGAGACUUGGCAGUAAAAUCCUUCCAAAGCGUUGAAAAGCUAUACCUAAUGCGUUGGUUGUUUUACUGCAUUGCUUAGCAUUCCAUCCAUGCAGGCAGACGGUGUUCCUAGGUUUGGAAACGUACCUCCCAGGGGAAGUGAGCUGAGGAACAUUUUAUGCAUCAUUCAUCCGGUUAUGAGCCCUUGCUGCUCCAUCUCUGCACAAGAUGUUGAAACAACAGCAACAACAAAAAUUGUUUAUAAUGUGUAUUCUAACUUUGGAUCAUCUGGUUAACGCCCUGAUGCUAUUACCCAGAAAGACAAUGCUCUGUCAGAAAAAACCAUUAAAGCUCGCUGCUGCGUGAUUAGUAAAAUAAUAGGGAAAGUUCAGCAUUCUGGAUGUCCCAUCUAAUGAGUUGGCAGUUACAGAACAGAAACAGAGCAAUAAGACCGCAUGGUUACAUUUUCCCAGUGCCACCAACUGGGAGUUAAGCUGACUAACAUUUCGAAAGCCCAGCCCAUUUCAUUCACAGCAGGCAUGGCAGGUAAAAGCAUUUCUGUAUUAAAGUACACACUUUGUUUCUUCAAGUUCUUGGUCUAAUUUCUCUUGUUUGCCAGUUGAGGGGAGAAACAAAAGUAGAUUGGGGACCAAAUGCCUGGGGUAUUUAAUCAAACACCCAGCAACUGUUGAUUAUAGGAUGCAGAAAUUUCACUUUCGAGGAUUAACUAUGGUGGAUUUUGCCAAUCCAAAUGGGUAUCCCCUUCCACUCAGCAUGUUAUUGGGCUCCUUCCUACCACUGGCUAAAUAAGAUGUAGUGGGAGAAUUCCAAGUAGUUGUAAUAAUAACUCUCGGGUUAGCAGAAGCUGAAUGUGCAGGGUGAAAAUUCUCAUUAGAUGUAAGUAUUUGUGAAGGUCCUCAAACAGUACAUUUUAGCAUGUUAUUGUUUGCUUCUAUUAGAGCACGUAAUUGAGAAUUGAUUUCACUGUGUUCUGUUAAUUUGAUUACUGUUUUCUAAGUGGUAAGUAUAAACUCCUUAAAUAUUUUAUGAAGCUCACUUCAUCAAGCCAAGCCCCUAGUGCCCAUCACUAGCACAUCACUGUAUUGAUCCCUGACCUUUUGACCUGUCACUCUGCCACGCGGGAUGCCUUUCUCUCUCGUCCUUGCAGAGGAGAGCUUAGGGAGCAGGAGUGAGGAAAGGCGUUAGUCUUUCUCCCUGAGUAAACUCGGGCUGUGGAAUUAUCAGAAGGGAUUUCCUUGCCAGCGGUGAAGUUGGGUUGGAUAACAUCAUUUUGCAUCUAUGCUGAAUAUAUUUUGGAGGAAGCCUGAGAGCACUAUGUGAGAGUCAUCUAGGAGGGAUGAAUGUAAUACACCUUUCAGGUGGGAAGAUGCAAGUUCUGAGAUGCAUGCAGUUAUUGUAAUAGUAGCUCAUUUUAUGAAUAAAUAAGAAAAUUCCUCAGCUGGUGCGCCCAUGCCAUAUAUUAAAACAAAUUUUACAAACCCUCUUCUUUGACUAGAGUUAGAGCCUUCACAUGCACCCUAUUAAAAUGUAGGAUAACCCUAGUUUGUUUUGUUUCAUGUUCUAUGACCAUCCCAUGGCUAUUUCUUAUCAGACUGGAUCAAAAGUUAAUAGAGGGUAUAGUGGAAAAAUAACUGUUCUUUAAAAUGUUAGCAGUGAAUAAAUAAAUAAAUGUGUGCGUAUACACACGCGCGCACACACAUUCAUGAUUAAAGGCCAGUGGAUGCCCACACCCUGACUGCAUCUGAAGUCUUUUCAAGAGUGUGAGAUUUUUUUUUUCUAUUUUAGCCAUUAGAUGCUUUGGCCAGUUUGGCCUCAAAAAAUUUUUGUGUUCAUAAACAUAACUUGGGAUCCAUGAAGAAUCUCUGAUACUUACUUAUUUUUAAAGAAACAUUCAGGAUCAAUAAGUUCAAAAUAUUUCACAGUUACCAGAGUAGGUCUUUCCUUGACUAAAGCGACACAGCCAUGGUGUAACCGGAUUCUCUGGGACGCGUGACCCAGCGCACCGCUGGCGCACUUCACUGGAUGAAGCGGUCUCCUGCUUGUCGGAUAGCGUGAGACCUCCCAUUUGUUUCGACAGUGCUUUCUGCUUUUCAAACCCUUUCCCAAGACAGUCAUGGUUAGAGGCCAAGGGUAGAAUAAGGGGGAAUAAGGGUGAUUUUUGUGUGUUUCUUUUUCUUACAUGGUAGAUGAAAAAUGCUAGAGAAUGAAAUGUCUUUCUUUAGCUUUGGGUCAAAUUACUGCAUGAAAUAUGAAUCACAACGUAAUUGUCACGGUGAAGAGAGAGGGAAAGAGGCAUUUACCCUUCAGCUACUGUGAUUCUUGGGGCCACUGUGCUGUCUGCUAUUGAGCUAAGAGGCAACUCACAGCAUUUCUCUCUAACAUAACAUGAAGGUAGCACUUCCCUUAAACAGAUUCAUUUUUAAACGUGAACAUCUGUGGUCCAUGAUCCAGGUUAAGUACGUGCACGUACGUAUUCAUAUGUAUAUGCUUGUCCAGACUUUUCAGCCAAGCAAUAAAAAUGGUGGAGGGGAGAGAACAGAGAUUCUUUAAGGGUCUAAGGGUUGGGGUGGGGGGUGUUACCUUAAACAGAAGCCAAAGCAAGCGCAUUUUUAAUUUGAAGCUUUGGGUUUUAGCUUAAAACUUCACUCACAUUUUACUUUCUGUUCUAUUAUAUAUUAUAAUUGUUCUACUAUUUUAGAAAAUUUUAAUUUGCUUACCUUUGAGUAAAUCUGCUAUUUGAGAAGACUGCAAUAUUUACCCUGUCAUGACUCAUUCAGAGAACAUUUAUUGAGCUUCUACUAUGUGCCAAGCACUAUUUUCCUCCCCUCCCCCAACACUCUCAGGUAUUCUAGAUACUCCUAUUCAAGUCUGAAAAGCACAGAAUAGAGGUAUACACAUUUGUGAGACAGAUGAAUAGAUAGGUGAAUUGUAAAUUACCACAAUUACCUAAAACUGUGCACAUUUUUCUACGAAGGGAUUUUAGAUAAUCAUUGUCAGAAUUUAGCAGAAAGCCCCAGGAAGUCUCUAGGUUUUUGUUGAAUUUAAAGCAAUUCCUUCAUACUUUAGAAGGUUACAUUUUCAUUGUCUGUUUUUCAGAGAUAAAGUUCUUUCUUUUCCAUUUCUGCUUUGACACGUGUUUCACGUUUUAUAUCCUUUCAAGUUUUAUAUCCUUCCUCUUUCACUCUUUCCCUCCUGUUUCCCAUCUUUCCUGAAGUUGAAGUGCUGCAUUGUUUUCCUUCUUAAUCCGACUUUUGUGAACUUGGUGUAUACAAGUACAAUCUCCUGGCGUAUAUAAUCCAGGAGAUUAAAAACUCAGGAGAUGGGGCUCUCGUUUCUGUGUUACAGGGUCUAGAAUAUUGAUGUGUGUGUGUGUGUGUGUGUGUGUGUUAUAAACCAUUUCUAAACUUGCUUCUUCAGCUAUAAAACAAGGAAAGGAAUUGUACCCAUCCCUAUUUGGUUACUGUAAAGAUUAAAUGGAAUAAUGAGUGUAAAGCACAACGCUUGGUAGAUGGUCAGAGGUCAAGAAAUACGAAAUGGUCUUCAGUAUUGCUUGUUAUUACUUAGUAUUUAGUAAAUUAUUAUUAUUUAGCAUUAUUUAUUGCAUGUCAAUGCAGAUACAUGCAUACCCGGUAGAUGCAGUUUUCUAUGUCAUGCAUCAUUCCAAGAAUGAUGGCUAAUCUUAGGCACAGUUGUGAAAAGUCAGUAUCUGCCUUCGGCAUUGCCAGCUUUGACUGAGAAGGAGCUCCUUCCUCCCUUUGAGUGCCUCGUGCCCUGCCCCUCUUCUUCCCUUUACUGAUAAAACCUCCUUUCAAAUAAGGACCUGAAAUUUAUCCACACAAAGGUCUAGAUGACUGAGACCAUUUGAGGUGUUGUCCUUGUAAAGGUCACGGACCUCUUAUCAAAGAUCAAAUACCGAGCGGAUGAGAUUUCAGGCUUCUGACCAUAGCAGCUGGAUGUUUGACAGUGUGAUUGCUCCCUCGCCUUCUGGAGAUCUCCCCAGAGUGGGAAUGGUUAGCUGGGCCAAGGGGUAAGGUUAGUUCUGCUACUGAAGAAGGCGCCUGCCGGGGCUCUCCUGGAGGGUGUCGGACAUCCUCAAAGGCUGCCUUUCUCUCAGCCUGGGGCUGUUUAGGAAUGUCUGUCAGCCAUUCUUUUUUUUUUUUUUUUUUUUCAUUUGUGUCGAUGGGUUUUGAAUCUAGUUAUGACUUAGCCACAAGCAGUAGUCCUUUGAACAUUUUUUUCUUAAUACUCUUCUUUAUCUUGGGAUAUACAUCCAUUUUUCUUCUACCUACAUCCCAUCCAUAUAUUCCUUCUUGGUUGUCCAUUGUGUUUCUUUCACAAAGACCUGUAUUCAUGAUUUAAAGUUUUCACACAUCAAACUAUUAUUCUGAGACAUUCUCCUGAAAUAGUCUUUUUUUUUUUUCUUUUAAUGUAACGCCACUUUAUCUGUGUAUUCUGUGCCCAGGUUUGAGGAUUUGAAGGGCUGAGUUCAUGUUUAAGGUAUGCCUUCACCAGCAACGUAAGGUUGGAAAACCACUCCCUUUCUCAGCUUUAGUUGGUCAAUGAAAGGGGCAGAGAAGGCUCUGCCGUGGUGUUGUAAGAAUCAAAUGAAAGAGUUUUGUAAACUCAAAAGUGAAGUAGAAGCUUUGUGGUCUUCUUUUCACCCAUUAUGACUACCUCCUC